rnacentral:misc_RNA from 1 species
ACAUGAUGAAAGUUUGUUAUCGGCACAGUCCGAUACUUGUACACACAUCACUACUGUCGCCGGUUAAUAGAGAGAAAAUUUUUCAGCAGUUCAGCAAAUUGAAGCAAUUGCGUGGCAAUGGCGAACAAUAACUAUGCCGGGUUCAACUACGGCGGCACCCAGUACAACACGGGACAGGUGACAUAUCCGGCCGUAACUAAUGCAACAUAUGCAAAUGCGGCUGCCUAUCAAAGUGCUGCUGUGGCUGCUGGCCAAGGGGGUGGUGGGUAUGCAGCGGCCGGUGCCGGUGCUGGUGCUGCUGGCUAUGGGGGCUAUGGUGACUAUCGUAGUGCCAUGCAGUCGUACGACGCAACCAAAACAUUCUACCAACAAGCACCGGCCAGCUACAACACGGCCUCAGCGGCAGCAGCAGCAGCAGCAGUUAGUAAGACACAUUAUUCGGCGCCGCCGGUAAAGAAUCCUAAUUCUACACAAAAGGGCAUGGGCAAAAUGGACAAAUCGAAUGGAACACCAAAGCCACCUCCAAAUGUCGCUGGAGGCAAUAGUUAUAGUGGCUAUGAUACGGCGAUCUACAAUGCGGCCAGCAUGUAUGUGGCACAACAGCAUCCGGGGUCGCAGCAAAAGCCAAACGGCGGCUCCAACAAUAGCUGGUAUCAACGCAAGAUGGGUCCGACAAUCCCUGGGGCAGUCGCAUUGCGUGGUAUGCGCCCAAAGGCUCCGCCGCGACCACAGCAACUGCAUUACUGCGAGGUAUGUAAAAUCUCAUGUGCCGGUCCCCAAACGUAUCGAGAACAUUUGGAAGGACAGAAGCAUAAGAAGCGUGAGGCAUCACUGAAAAUGCAGGCGUCCGCUGCUAACAGCGCCCAGAAUCGUGGUAACAACUAUCACUGCGAACUCUGUGACGUCACCUGUACUGGCACCGAUGCCUAUGCGGCUCAUGUACGCGGCGCUAAGCAUCAGAAGGUAGUUAAGCUGCAUCAGAAACUGGGAAAGCCAAUACCUUCUGAUGAGCCCAAGAAAAUGGGAAAGAUUAACUUUGUGCCAGCUGCAGGGCCAAAUGCAACCACUGCAGCUGCAGCAGCAGCAGGAACCAAGUCUGAUCAAGCCGAAUCUGAUGCAAUCGCAGGCGGUGGAGCAGCAGCAGCAUCUGAAAAUAUGGAUGACAAUAUGGACGAUUCGAUGGGCGAGAACACGGACAACAUUAAACCCGUGGGCGGCGAGUACAUUGAAGAGGUCAAGGACGAUGAGGGCAAAAUACUUAGCUUCAAUUGUAAGCUGUGCGAUUGCAAGUUCAACGAUCCGAAUGCCAAAGAGAUGCACAUGAAGGGCCGUCGCCAUCGCUUGCAAUACAAGCGCAAAGUUCAGCCAGACUUGGUUGUCGAUUUUAAGCCCACACCGCGCCAGCGUCGUCUGGCCGAGGCGCGUGCCCAACGAGCGCUCAUGUCCUCACAUCGUGGUGAUGAACAUGAAGGAGGCAACUACUGGGAUGAGCAGCGCAAUCGUCAAUACAAUGAAGAGUACGACUACAAUAAUUGGAUGUCCCGCAGCUUUGGAGGGGCCCAGCGCUUUGGUCGCAUGGGCAAUGGACCUCCGCCACACUUUGGCAUGAUGCCUGGCGGCGGAAAUGUGCGUCGUCCGGAGAGCACCGACGAUCGCCACGCUAUAGCGCGUCAUGCUGAAAUUUAUCCAAAGGAGGAAGAACUCCAGACUAUACAGCGCAUUGUGUCGCACACAGAACGCGCUCUUAAACUCGUCUCGGAUACUUUGGCUGAGCUGCCAACGCCAGCUGCAGGCAGUGAUAGCGAACCGGCUGCUAAAAAGGAGAAGGCCGAUAAAGCAUCGGAAAAGGAUGGACGAGAUAAUCAAAUAUUCUCAUUCCACAAAGAAGCCGACAAUGGUGGAAAUGUGGUGCGCAUCCUGAAGGGUGUCAUGCGUGUUGGCUUCUUGGCCAAGGGACUGCUGCUGCAUGGUGACACAGCGGUCGAACUGGUUGUUCUCUGUGCAGAGAAGCCAACGAUAAGUCUGCUCCAACGUGUGGCCAAUGUGCUGCCCGAUAAGCUCAAGGAGGUUGCAGCUUCUCUUCACUGCAGGAUUUGAGAUUUGAGCCCUUAGCCAUAUUGAGAUGCUAUCCACUCACACUACUCACACUCAGGUGUCUGUUAGCCGUCUAUAGCUUUCCAAGUCUGCUGCUGCUGAUACCAACUGCUACUGCUACUGCAUCUGCUGGUGGUGGAUAACAAUCAACGGAUCUCGUAAUCGUAAUGGUGAAACACCAGUCAACUAUCGCGUUGAGGUGAAUGCGGAUGAAGCUGCUGUAAUAGUGCUCGAUGAAGUGGUCGCUGUGAAGAUUACA